GAGUGUUGGGUGGUACGGUUAAAGCUUUACCUUGCUGUUUUUUUUCUCAAUUUAUGCGGAAAAUUUGCUAGAUUUCCUUUUUUUUCUUGAAAAUAGCAUUAGCCUGCAUGGCUAAUAUACCUCUGAAUAAACAUAUUUUGCUGCAGCGGAAUCCAUGAACGAAAAACUAAUGAAAACUGGCAGAUUCCGUCGGAAAACGACUCUCUCUCUGAUGACGCAUCUCUAUCAUGCUCAUCAAGUGGGGCUGAAUCUGGGAAUGAAUCCAGAAUCCCAGAGCUGAAUGCUUACAUCGGUCUGGGUUUGUCUGUUGUGUUGAGGAUGCAAAUCGAAAGGACGAAGUGGUGCCUUUGUUAAUUUCUCGAUACUUGGAUUAGCAACAUCAGCAUGGAUUACACACAUACAUGAGAGCGAGGGGGUCAGAGAUGUUUCACAAGCUGAAUUUCAGAAGAUCGAAAAGAAAUAUCAUUCACCCAGUAGCACGAUCAUUCACCCGUUUCGAAAACUCCAUUUAAUCACUGCACUUCGCCACCUGAGGUAUGUGAAGUCCAGAAAUGUUUCACCGGCGCUAAUGAAGCGUUCACGGUGAUUGUAAUUAGUAUAGACAGGAUGCAGGUUUCACGCAGCAAAUCCCAGUUGAAAUAAGCUUCCAUCAGAACCUCUUAGAAGGUGAAGAUUUACAUUUUAAUCAAGAGCCGGUAUUGAAGAAUGAUGGAGACGGUAAAGCUAAAACGACCAAUUGGACAGCAUGUCUAUUCCUGGGCUGCAUGACUACGAUGAUCCGCCAGACGCACCUGCAUGCCGCAUAACAAAGAGAAGUCGGGCAAACUCCUGCUGGGCCCAAUGUUCCUAUCGGGAGAGAUCAUACCCGGUGUCGCCAAACUAAAAACGAUACACACUUCGUGCAGCAUCAGAAGCACGCCGCAGCACAUCUUUGUCCAUCUUUGAACUAGUUCAUACCAUUAUUUUAUUAUUAAUAAACAUAAAAAUGUAAAAUAUAAAAGU